rnacentral:lncRNA from 1 species
GGAUAGAACUUAUAGAGCUUCGAUUUACUCGCUUAGGGAUUGAUCUAUUAUCCUAUGGCUUUCAUCUUACAUAUUAUAUUUUAGGGUUUCAUUCUUUACAAUCAACCAAAUUCGAUUCAUUAUGUUCUUAGAAUUCGAAAUACCUUUACUUUAGUUGUUUGUAGAAACCGGACCACCAAGAAUGAACCUCGAGCUUAGACACGAUCGGGACGCGGGCUGGCUGGGACGUGAACUGGCUUGGAACGCGAAUGGAUUGAGGUUGGAGACGCGAGCUGCUUCUAUCGGAUCACGAGCUGUCCUUGAUGUAGGAUGGAGCUGAGUUCGUCUAGGAUCAGGAACGCCUUGGGGCUGGAUCUGAUCAGGUGGACACGAGCUGGAACGGAGUCGCGAACGGAUUAGGGUUCGUCGGUAUCGUCGGGUUCGGAUUAGGGUUAAAAGCAAAUUGGCACGCACUGUAUUUGUGUGUGAAGGUGCGUGAAGGCGCGUCGGUGGUCAGAUCGACAAGCGGUUUGCACUGACUGAUUCGUCUCGGCCAGGGCUUCGAUUUGAUAUCUUGAUCGUUUUCUGGGUCCUCACGGUUUGGGAGAACGGCCUCUUUAAAGUUCCGAGGUAGAUUCCUUUUCGUUUUAGGGUUUUAGGGUUUUGUUGAUUUGGUUUUAGGCUCAGGGUGUUCGAGGCUAUCGUGCUGAUAAUGUGUUGUGAAACUUAGGAUUUAGAGCUGUAAGGUUCUGUAUAUUAUUAAUGAAUAAGUGUUCCCUUUAUAUAGGGGUUACAAGAGAGAUAAAUGGAAAUACAAUAAUAGGAAAUGUUACAAAUCAUAAACAUAAACGAAUUAGGAAAUAGACAAGUUGUAGCCGCCUCUCUC